GUCUAUAGCUGUACCAUACUGAACGUGCCUAAUCUCAUCUGAUCUCAGAAGCUAAGCCGGGUCGGGCCCAGCUUGGAUGAGAAAAAAAAAUCAUGGACGGUCACAGUGGCUC
rnacentral:rRNA from 1 species